rnacentral:other from 1 species
AGUUAAUGGCGUAGGGUACAGAGGUAAGAUGUUCUAUCUUUCAGACCUUUUGUUUCACGUUAUUGGAUUUGGCUGAUUCAGCCGCCCCGGCCAUUUGGCCGGGGCGUUUUUUA